CUGUAAAAAAUGGCUGUGAAAUCUACAGUUAUUUACCGUAGAUUUCACAGUUACAUUACUGUAUAAGAUUUUUACAGUAGAACAUUUUAAAGUUUACAGUAAGACAGUAAAAAUCACAGUAAUCCAAGCAUUACAGUUGAAAUCACAGUAAUCAAAUUAUUACUGUAAAAAAUCACAAUUUAGCCACUAUGGUACUGUAAAUAGUAAAGUAAACUACUGUAAUUUUCCUUUUUUUAUCAUAUCUUUCUUUGUACCCCUUUCACAUGGACGGCCCCAGAUUAUUGUUGUUCAGAAUUCAUUACUGGAAUAUGAUAUAAAUACUCAAUGGUGAGUAAUAUUAAUAAAUUAAAAUGUGUCAUGUAACUUUUAGUUUGAGCUUUCUAUUCCAUACAAUAUAUAAUUUUUAAAGAAUUCACAUAAGAUUCCAAGAAUAUAUAUAUAUAAUAUAUAUUGUGACUGGGUGUUUAGGUGUAAAAUGGGUGUUAACAGGGCAAUAAAAUAUUAAAAUAUAAGCUUUAUCUUAAACUUCUCUAAAGUCUUCCCUCACAUGGUCUAACAAUAUAGGCUUCAUAAAAGCAUAAUUUUUGAAGAUAUAAUCCUCAGAUCUCGCGAGAUUAAAUAUGUCACGAGAUUUCUCGUGGAGGUGAAAUACUGGCCGUUUCUCAAACAAAAGGCUGCAUCCUUAGGAGGUCGCAUUUGUAGACUGCAUACGUCAUAAAGACUGACUUAUUACAGAAUUAACAAUUAUAACGUUUUACACUAUUAUAUUUAGUUAAUCAUAAAAUGUUGUAAUAUGCUCAUGACUUGCGAAUGUAAUGCUCAGUUAACUGAAAUAAACCAGGCUUGAUGACGUAUGGAGCCUGCAUAUGCGACCUCUGGAGGCUGCAGCUUUCUGUUUUUAUUUUUGAGCUUAUGUAUCUCAAUAUUAAUAACAUCUGGGGCCUAUACCAUGAAGGUAGCUGAACAAACUCGGGGUUACAGGAUUGAUUUUGAGUUUUGAACUUGAGCCAAAACUCUAAAGCGUGUCUAUUCAUAAAGACUUUUAUUUUGGGUAGACUUUUAUUUUAUGUCAUGUGCAUUACUUGCCAAAAUUGGUGCUGUCUGGUCAACUCAUAAAAACGUAUCAUUGUUUUUUUUAUAUAUAUUUACAAAAAUCUGUAUUUUUUCUUCGGAAGUAGCUGCAGGAGAGAUAAACGUGCAAGUUUUCAGAGCUGUUUCUGAGCUGCAGGGCGAAAUCAAAGCGCCGGCGGAGUGGGCGGGGUUUACGCAACCCAGUCUAGAAAGUUCAAUCUGUGGGAAAAAAGCGCGAAAGAAGCAACACUUGAAUUUCUGACUCGUCGUUAGUAACAGAAAAGCUCCAUUAAUUCUCAAAUUAACGUUUCUUUACACACGACUUUGUCUUGUGGUUGUAUUUAUUUCGUUUUCUUCUUUGUGUUGAUUUCUUUCACUUUUUGCCUGAGAGGAAUUCAGCGAAAAGGUUUCAGUGAGAGCUCCGACGGAGACGUUUUCACAGACGUUAAUAACAUACUAUUACUCAAAUGUAUCUUUCUUUACACACGGCUUUGUCUUGUGGUUGUAACGUUAUUUAUUUUGUUUUCGUCUUUGUGUUGAUAUUUCACUUUUUGCCUGAGAGGAAUUCAGCGAUAACGUUUCCGUGAGAAGUACGACGGAGACGUUUUCACAGCCGUUAACGUUAAUAUAUUUUUCACACCCGUGGCCUCUGCCGGAGUAUCCAUCUUGGAAUCGCGGAUCCGACCUUCACCAACUGCUUAUACCUUUAUACAACUUCCAGAAUAUAAGUAAGUACAUUUACUAUCACUACUAGGAGCAAAAAGUUCAGUGCCAUAACGUUAACGUUACAAAUUUUAGCUUGCCAUAAAAAUGAAUUACGUACUCGUGCAAGCACUGUAUUUUCACCACAACUAAUUACUGCAUUUGUUCGUCAUUUGAGCAUACACAGAAAUCUAGCUAACUUUAGAUUUCCAUGUGGCGUCGCAAAAUGCUUUGCCACUUUUGUGACGCGUGGUGCCGUUUAAAGCGUUUAAAUGUACCGCUUUCACAAGAAGACUGCUAAAAGUGGCCGUGACGUUAAGACUGCGUCGAAUGAUUCUGACUAACUAGCAAUUAGUUAUGGCUAAUCAGUCUUAUUAUUUCGAUUUAAAUUAGAUCAAUCUACCUUUCUAUGUAACAUACUUAACAGUUAUCAGUCUUGAAGAAAAAAAAUGACUAACUUUUAAGACUAUUAAAAUUUUAUGCAACCGGCCACAGUACUUAAAAGGAAAAUUUAUGGAGUGUUGUAAUUGAUAAGGUUAUCGUGGUACUUAGUUAAUUUUUUGUGUGUAAACAUGCACAAACCUUCGGAGCACAACAAAUUUUAGUGCUUCAUUAUAUUCAUUAUCAACCUUGUUUCAAGUAACUCUUUGCUGUCAUAGGCGAGUACCACUCCCGCAGACGCAGAGGCCCAUCUGUCUCUCCCAAUCACUCCUAAGAUCAUCAUGCUCGUCAGGAAAAGCACCAGUCAGGAAAAGCAUCACUUCAAAAAAGAGAGAAAAUCCUGACUGCAAAAAAAUGGAUGCUGUCGAUCGAGGGAAGGGUCAUUAACAGGUGGAAGCCAGCACAACACUGGAGUUUGUUCAGAGGUUUUUAGUCAGGAUUAAUCCUGACUCCAACAAGUGCACUGCCAAGGAGCAGAUGAGCAAGACAACAGGGAGAGUGGUGAAGCGGAAGACUUCAUACAUGAACCUCCAUGUAAUCUCCUUCAUCAGGGACUUCAGGGAGUUCUAUUUGAUAACUGACUAGAUACAGGUCACCAAGGUCAGGGCAUGCAAGAAGUCAUAGACCUUUGUCAAGUGGCAGGGGAAGUUUAUUUUCCUUUCUGUUUAAAUGUUCAUGCAAAUGUUAAAUAUUUUAAUGUUCAAAGUUUUAUUUUAUUUCAAUAUUGCCAUAGUGUUAUUCAUUGCUCUUUAAAAUGUGGUAAUAAUCAGUUAUUUGCACGGCUUGAAAGUAGUAAAUUUUUUUGACCGUAUUGUAUCAAUUUGCAUUAUUGUUAGGUCAUAACAACCAGUCAUGUGGAACUAGUGAAUGAACUAGUAACAGUUCGCUCUGUAUGUUGCAUGUCGUCUAAUGUCCAUUAUCCCUUUAUGUUGUACCUGUUUGGUCAUCCUGUUCCCCAAAUGAUUUUAAAUAAAUAACUAUUAACAAUU